CAGGUCGCCAAGCAGCCAGCCGGUGAUUGGCUCUGAGAACGCGCACAGGGACCCGACAAGCUCUGCUGCGCCGCGCUGCUGCCUGAGGCGGGACUUCCUUCCUGCGGCCCAGAAACCGGAAGUGGAGUAGUUUUCCACCGGAAGGAGAGAGAAAUUGCGACUCGGAGCCUGACACCUGCUGCUAGCCCGUUUUGUCCCGCGAAGUUGGGCCAGACUCUGGCCCACCUGGUGUGGUUGGCGACAGUCGUGUCCAGGUUAUUAUUCACUUUGCAUCCCCGCCGUAGCCCCUUCCUCCCUCCCUUCCAGCCCCGCCCUCUGCGCUUUCUUUGGAAUAGUCAACACUAUACCAGGUAUGAGAUGUGAGCGUCAGAGUUUGUUGUGGUAACUGGGAGCACAUCCAACACCACCCUGGGUUCCGCUGCCCUUCCUGUCUGCACAGAUCAGAAGUCACCACAGUUACAGAUGGGACUACGCCAGGCCCCUGGGUGUAUUUGGACAGAAGAGGAUUACUGGCCCAUGUUUUUAACCUCAUCUCACAGCCCCGAAGAGCAUACAUUGACAGCCGCCUUGAUUUCUAAUGACGAUUUGUGGGAUCAUUGAUGUCCCGUUUCUCUCUUCAGGUACACAAGUUCCCUGAAAGCAGAGCCGGUGUUCCCACGCUCUGAUCGUUCAGAGAUCAUGCAGCCGCAGCCACGCCUUUAAUGUGUGGAAUUCAAGUGGCGCAGACACAGGCCAGUGGGCGCAAUCUCAACACCCGAGUUUUCUGUAAACGAUUUAUCAGAGGUUGCAGCUGAACGUGGCCAUGAGGUAAACCUUGCCCUUGGUUGAAAUUUAAUUUCAUCAGCUUCUACAUGGAAUUAUAAGGACUUGGAAAAGAUCACAAAACCCAACAGGUUUUUCCUUUUUUUAAGGUUUAUUUUUCCUUUUUGAAGAUAACAUGCUUAAACAAAGGUUCCUUUUUUUUGGGGGGGGGGGGGAGUUCAAGACAGGGGUUCU